rnacentral:rRNA from 1 species
GAUGAACGCUAGCGACAGGCCUAACACAUGCAAGUCGAGGGGCAGCACAAGGAGCAAUCUGAGGUGGCGACCGGCGCACGGGUGAGUAACACGUAUGCAACCUGCCUGUAGGAGGGGAAUAACCCGGAGAAAUUCGGACUAAUACCGCAUGAUACCACGAGACUGCAUGGUUUUGUGGUUAAACAUUUAUGGCUUACAGAUGGGCAUGCGUAUGAUUAGCUAGUAGGUGAGGUAACGGCUCACCUAGGCAACGAUCAUUAGGGGUUCUGAGAGGAAGGUCCCCCACACUGGUACUGAGACACGGACCAGACUCCUACGGGAGGCAGCAGUGAGGAAUAUUGGUCAAUGGACGAGAGCCUGAACCAGCCAAGUCGCGUGAAGGAAGAAGGUUCUAUGGAUUGUAAACUUCUUUUGUAAGGGAAUAAAAAGUGGUACGUGUACCAUAUUGUAUGCACUUUACGAAUAAGGAUCGGCUAACUCCGUGCCAGCCGCCGCGGUAAAAC